rnacentral:rRNA from 1 species
GAUGAACGCUGGCGGCGUGCCUAAUACAUGCAAGUCGAGCGAACAGACGAGGAGCUUGCUCCUCUGACGUUAGCGGCGGACGGGGGAGUAAAACGUGGAUAAACUACCUAUAAGACUGGGAUAAAUUCGGGAAAACGGAGCUAAUACGGUAGAAAAUAUUGAACAGCAGGGUUGAAUAGUGAAAGACGGUUUUGAUGACACUUAUAGAAGAAUACGCGCCGCAUUAGAUAGUUGGUAAGGUAACGGCAUACCAAGGCAACGAUGCGUAGCCGACAUGAGAGGGUGAACGGCUACACUGGAUCUGAGACACAGUCCAGACUCUUACGGGAGGCAGCAGUAGGGAAUCUUCCGCAAUGGACGAGAGCGUGACGGAGCAACGUCGCGUGAGUGAUGAUGGUCUUCGGAUCGGAGAACUCUGUUAUUUGUGAAGAACAAAUGUUUAAGUAACUAUGCACGUCUUGACGGUACCUAAUCAGAAAGCCACGGCUAACUACGUG